UCUUAAACCCGACUCACCUGAAAUUAAUUCUUAUGUGAUGUAGACAAGGACCCCACAAAUAAAAUAUUUGUGGGGUUCAUGUCUAUGGCAUAAAUUUAUUUAUUUUGUCAUGUCAGAUUUUUCUCAUGACAAAUUUGAUUGAAACGUUAGAAUCACAAUUCACUCAAAAUUAAAUCCGGUUCUUUUAAUUUCCUCAUCCUCUUUUAUCCUUAUUCCGUUUGCUUUUUCUGAAGAAAAUAAAAGGGUGUUACAAUGUCUCAAGCUAAUUGUUUGAGAAUGUAGUUCGAAGUGUACGUGUCUAUCUGGAUUGACUGUCAACUACUUUACGGCUCACACUCCUAGAAAUACUGGUCGGAGAUUCUACAAAUGUCCCAAACAUGAUGCGAACUGAUUCUUGUGGUUAUUUUAAUUGGUUCGAUCCUGUAUUGUCGGAUAGAGCGGUAAAUGUUAAAUGCAAGUUGAAGUCUCAAGUGGAUGCUUUGAAGAUUCAGCGACAGAAAUUGAAGGAAAAAUUAGAAACAAUGGAGGCUAUUAAUCAAGUUGAAGGGACCAAAACAAGCAAUUUGGAUGCGGGUAAUCUGGAAAGGGAAAUAAUGAUGCAACAAGUGAAAAAUAUGGAGCUUCAAAUCAAGUUGAAAGGACCAAAGCCGUGAAAUUGGAAGACGAAGUCUUGAAAAUGAAGAUCAUUUGAUAUCUUGGUUCCUAUUUGCUUGCAUCUUUCCUUUGCUUGUAUAAUGAACUAAGAUGACGAACUAUUGGUUGGGUUAUUUUGUGAUGAACUAAGUUGAUUUGUACGUUUGAUGAACUAAAUUGAUGAUCUAAAUUGGCUUGUAUGAUGAACUAAUAUUGAAUCAAUGUAAUGUAUAUUUUGUUGGUUGAACGAAGGUAAAUUGCUUCUGCUUAUA